rnacentral:lncRNA from 1 species
ACUUCUUUGGUAAUCACAUUUGCUAAAAUCAGACCAAAUAAUAAUUAUAUGCAUUAACAGUCACUCUUACUACUUUCAGGGCGAUCGAGGUUUUCCAGGUCCUCCAGGUAGAAGAGGGGCUCCAGGCAUUCCAGGUAUUGCUGGCAUCAAAGGAGAGAAGGGGUGCCCUGCAGAGGGAUAUAACCAAGGGUAUGGUGCAAAAGGUGAUCCUGGAUUUCCAGGAAUGCCUGGACUUCGGGUAAUUCAGAAUUAAUUCACACUGUGAGAUUUUUUUAUAUAUAUAUAUAAAAAACAUAUUAUAUAUAAUGUGUAU